GCGGUAAUACGGAGGGUGCAAGCGUUAAUCGGAAUUACUGGGCGUAAAGCGCACGCAGGCGGUCUGUCAAGUCGGAUGUGAAAUCCCCGGGCUCAACCUGGGAACUGCAUUCGAAACUGGCCGGCUAGAGUCUUGUAGAGGGGGGUAGAAUUCCAGGUGUAGCGGUGAAAUGCGUAGAGAUCUGGAGGAAUACCGGUGGCGAAGGCGGCCCCCUGGACAAAGACUGACGCUCAGGUGCGAAAGCGUGGGGAGCAAACAGGAUU
rnacentral:rRNA from 1 species